UUCCCGGGCCUUGUACACACCGCCCGUCACACCACGAAAGUUGGCAAUACCCGAAGCCGGUGGCCUAACCCGCAAGGGAGGGAGCCGUCCGAAGGUAGGGUUGAUGAUUGGGGUG
rnacentral:rRNA from 1 species